UUUUGUUCCGCUGUUCAUUUUGUUAAUUAAAUUCAGUCAAAAAUAAUCCACAACUCCACUGCCUUUAAUCACAGAAAUACGACAUCACGAGAGGCACCUAAAGGCAGCAUUAAUAGUGGAGGAACUUUGAUUCUGGCGACAUCUUGUGGUCAAACGACGGUAAUGGCCUUGAGGCAAUAUCAUCGAGGGUGAGAAGCAGCAGCUGUCCAGUGCCACCACUAAAGACCCAGGAGCACUUGCAGUAACACAGCAGGUGAAAGAGAUUGGGAUUGAUUCCGGAAGGAGGAAGACCGCACCCAGCGCCACGAGGGGGCAAAAGGGGGCUUUGCCCCCUCAGUUGUAUUUUCUGCCCCCUUGUUAAAACAUACAAACACAACAACACAAUUACUUUUACAAGGUCUCCAUGGUGCCUUUAUCGCAGGGGGCUUUCAACUACUAACAAUGUAAUCCCAUCCAGGCGAUAUUUGACACAGAGAGCGACCACUCCAGCCAUCCUCUUACUUCAUUCGUAUGUCCAUGAUUUUAACCCCCUUAUAAAAGCUGCUUUGCUGCGCUCAGACCAU